GGAAAUCUCACCAGGCCCGGACACUGGAAGGAUUGACAGAUUGAUAGCUCUUUCUUGUUAGCAAUAACAGGUCUGUGAUGCCCGGCCGUUCUUAGUUGGUGGAGUGAUUUGUCUGGUUAAUUCCGUUAACGAACGAGACCUUAACCUACUAAAUAGUUUGCAAUCUCACCGAUUGCAAUUCUUCUUAGAGGGACUAUAUGUGUUAAGCAUAUGGAAGUUUGAGGCAAUAA
rnacentral:rRNA from 1 species